AGGAAACAGAGCUUCCGAAUUUUUAGGGUUCCCUCUGGCGAAAAAACCUUUAGGGUUCCAACGAUGUCUCAAUUCUCCUGCCGAAUCUCAAAACUUUCCUCAGUCUAGAUUCAGGUGGUCAAGAUUUCUCAAUCUCUAAUGAUCUGAGCAAGCAAGAGUCAAUGAAGAUCCCAAACCAGUUUUUAUUAAAGGAACUCCGUCUACCGAUCUCGCUACUCAAUCAUCUUUUGGCUUUUCAUUAUUCCCACUACUCCCAGGUAUGUAAUCUACAAUUUUCUCAGUCUUUAGAUGUUUAAAUCAGUCUAUACUUAUGUCGUUGAUGAUUACGUAUUUGGAAGCCUUCCUCUCUUUGCUAUGAGGACUUCUUUGUUUAGAAUCACUAUUUUGAGUAGGAAAAAAGCGUAACUUGUCCCAGAUGUGAGGUUAAAGAGGAAAAUAUUAAUCAUCUACGCCCUUUGAAUACCACUUCCUCUAUAAGUGUAGGCAUGGCCACCGAUCCAUCAGUAUCAUCUCAUUUACCAACAUCAUCGGUUUGACAAAUCUAUAUUAUUUAUUUUGGGGACAACAAGAACUUAAUGUUUUUGCAAAUGGAAUGGAGACUUUUCCCUAGAUCAUUGGUUUAUGUGGAAAGCUAUAACACAAAAUUGUAUAAAUGUUUAAUUAGGGAAGCACCAUAUAUCAUCAUGCUCUUACAUGAGUGUAAGUUUUGGAUUCCAUUCCAUCACCUUUGACGGGAGAGGACAAAUCAAGGCGGGAGGGGACAAAUCGAUGUGGGUUGAUCCAUUAGUAUAAUCAAUGGCGGAGCUAGCCAAAAAAUUUACCGAGUCAUUUUUAAUUUACAAUUGUAUUCUUACAAUGGUCAUUAAGC
rnacentral:lncRNA from 1 species